GGCACAGUCAAAAUCCUUUUACAUGGAUUUCUACUAAAUACCAAAUUGGCGGAAAGGUGAGAGGGAUCUCUUCUGCAGCAGAGUUUAUUCCGGAAGCAGAAUUUUACAAAAUCGAAGCAAUCCUAAGUUGACCGGGAUUAGUGGAGAUCUGACGGAGUGAAAUGCAAACACAAUCGGUAAUAGAGAAGACAGAUGGAGAGAAUGAGCAGCAGACGAGCGUACAAUUGGGAUUUGGUGCUAGUUCCAUACCACAGCUUAUCGACAAGGUGUUCUUGGGGAAAGAUUAACUUGAAUUGCAGCUUCUACUGGCGAGAACAAACAGGAGAAGAGGAUCAACUAGAAGUUCACUACUCUAAUGAAACAACUUGAGACCCCUCAGGGUUCUGUUUACUUGGCAGGAGAAGAGAGGAGAGGUGGGUGGAAAACAAUGCUUAUUUGCCCAAAGUACCCUUGGAUUAGGGAUAUUAGUAGGUAAACAUUAAUUGAAAAU